AACUUUCAACAAUGGAUCUCUUGGCUCUGGCAUCGAUGAAGAACGCAGCGAAAUGCGAUAAGUAGUGUGAAUUGCAGAAUUCAGUGAAUCAUCGAAUCUUUGAACGCACAUUGCGCCCCUCGGUAUUCCGUGGGGCAUGCCUGUUCGAGCGUCA
rnacentral:rRNA from 1 species